ensembl:lincRNA
CAACACAGUGGGACCCUGAUGGGAAAAAAUAAAUAUUUCAUGCUUUGAGGCUAUCUCAGUGUCCCAAGGCAGGCAGUGCCGGUCUGCAGUCCACUGGUUCUCACUGGGAGGUGUGCACAGCCCCACAGACGGUCCUUCCAGGGCUGGGGAAGACAGUCUGUGAUGGGCUCUGCCAUCUCACCAGCUCUCAUCUACAAGACCAAUGUAAGUAACAUGGCUGAAAGGGUGGGCUUACAAGUCUUCUGUUUUGUGUUUUAGGUUGCUUUUGUUUGCUUUUUGUCUUUACAGUGCCGGGAUGAACCCAGGGCCUUGUACGUGCUAGGCAAGUGCUCACCACGGAACCACUCAGCCCAAAUGCCUUUUGCGUCUCAUGGCCAGGUGGGGAAGCAGCCCGUUCAGAUGUGAUAUCCAUCCUCAUAAUUACACUCAGUUUUCUUACAGCUGCUUUAGGCUAAGAGUGGGCACUGGUCUUGCCCAGCCAGGGACUGAAAAUCUCAUCCAGAUUGAUCUAAAGGAGACACAGGAACAUCCAGUUCUGUUGUUUGAUGACUAUUAUCCUUUGAUGAUCAGUUGUUUUGGAAAAUCAGGACAUCAGCAAGUCAUUGAAGCUUAAGGCAGAGUCCGUGUUGCACUAAUUUGUAAAUGUCGGUCGUGCAGAAGACACAUCUGCAGAGUUGUCGGGAGUAAGCACAUAAUGUUUGCUCUAAUAAUAGCACAGGUGAGCGUCAGCUUGGCUCAGAGCAGAGAAGUUUGAAGAUAUAAAUGUUACAGCAUGUUAAAUGGGCAGGAGCUGAAAAUUGAAACUAGACCCAAGAUGGAAAAAACAAAAGACAGAGCAGAGACGAAUCUCAAAACUGGGCAGAGACUGAGGACUUGAGGCUGGCGGUCGGAGGCUUGCCUCUCCUGCCAGACCCAUGAAGGUCGCCAUGCUGGGAAAAAUGGAACUGCUGGGACACAGCUGUGCACCUCCCCGUGUCUUAAAGAUAAACUGUAAAAGCAGUAUAACCUCCACCUCCCUGCACUUUGCUGAGUUCUGCUUCUGUGAAAUCCUGCUUGCUCCCCCACCUGGCUAAAGAACAGAUAAAUGUGAGAACAAGUGAAGAACCGGCUCAACUCUGGAAGGGUCUUUUGCUGGGCUCACUAGGGAGCCAAUAAACCUGUUUCCUUUCCAUUUUCUGAGUGCCCUCUCUUCCUGGUCUGCCUGCCUCUGAGUGCCAUUUCAGAACAAU